GCCAAGCGCCGACGCAGCGCUGUCGGCGGCAGCCCUGACGACCCCGGCGCGCCGGCAGGGCCUGCCCGACCCGCGUGACUACGUGGCGCCCUUCUCCGCGUCUGAGGCGUCCCCGCCCCGAGCUGCGUUCGCCGAGCGCCAGGCGAUCGCCAGUCCGCGUCAGGACGACUACGGCCUGACCAUCCCGAAGAAGCAGGAGAAGCAGCGGCUCGAGUUUCAGGUGCACGGCCAGGAGGGGCCGCACAGCUACCGCUUCGGGUACGACACCGGCACCGGGUACAACCGCCAGUUCCGGUUUGAGGAGAGAGACGGGUACGGAAAUCUGAAGGGGCGAUACGGCUUCUACGAUAAGUCUGGCAAGCUGCAAGUUGUGAACUAUUCUGCUUCCCCGAAGGGAGGAUUUCAUGCGGAGGGCAAUUUCGGAAAGUUUCCUGAAGCCGGUCAUUAGAUAAGCUUUCUACAGAAACACCCGCGAACACGAGGCAUCGUUUGGCCAAGGCGCUCAGUGCUGUGUGCCUGUGUGCCGCGCAGCCCCGGCUCGCCAGCGGCAGCCGUCAGUCGGCGGCGGCGCCGGAGCUCGGCCGUCACGCCCGCUCCGCUCGCCUGGACUAGACGGCCGCCCGGUCCACGAGCGCCAGCUGCGCACGUGACAUACUUCGGACGGCGCCGUACCCGACACCACCUCAG